rnacentral:rRNA from 1 species
GACAGAGGGGGCAAGCGUUGCUCGGAAUUACUGGGCGUAAAGGGCGCGUAGGCGGCCAACUAAGUCGGAUGUGAAAUCCCCAGGCUUAACCUGGGAACUGCAUCCGAUACUGGAUGGCUUGAAUUCGGGAGAGGGAUGCAGAAUUCCAGGUGUAGCGGUGAAAUGCGCAGAUAUCAGGAGGAACACCGGUGGCGAAGGCGGGGUCUCUGGGCAAUAAACUGACGC